GACGAACGCUGGCGGCGUGCUUAACACAUGCAAGUCGAACGGAAAGGCCCUGCUUGCAGGGUACUCGAGUGGCGAACGGGUGAGUAACACGUGGGUGAUCUGCCCUGCACUUCGGGAUAAGCCUGGGAAACUGGGUCUAAUACCGGAUAGGAGCCAUUUUUAGUGUGAUGGUUGGAAAGUUUUUUCGGUGUAGGAUGAGCUCGCGGCCUAUCAGCUUGUUGGUGGGGUAAUGGCCUACCAAGGCGGCGACGGGUAGCCGGCCUGAGAGGGUGGACGGCCACAUUGGGACUGAGAUACGGCCCAGACUCCUACGGGAGGCAGCAGUGGGGAAUAUUGCACAAUGGGCGCAAGCCUGAUGCAGCGACGCCGCGUGGGGGAGGACGGCCUUCGGGUUGUAAACUCCUUUCGCUAGGGAUGAAGCUUUUUGUGACGGUACCUAGAUAAGAAGCACCGGCUAACUACGUG
rnacentral:rRNA from 1 species